GGGGAUGACCGGUAUCGACAGGAAAGAUCAUCGGUUUGUAAGCAUGUCGGAGCACGAUUGUUCACUCCGUUAUCAAAUGAUGAUCAAAACACAAAUGGCGAUAAUAACUUCGCAUUAGCUGCGUAAUCUAGGAUUGCAACGCUUUUAGUGCCGCCCGGAUGACGUCCGAUAUAUGCCGGUAGCCGCACUUCAACAGACCCGCGGACUAGGUGCGUGAGAUGCUUCGAUCACAAUCCGAAAUUACAGAAGAUAAGAUGACGGCGCCGUGGGCUUCUGUACCUGCCAGAUUUCGAAAAUCCGAACAGAAGAUAAACAUGUAGAAAGCAUUCAGUUGCUUUGUCUGGACCAGGGUUCGAGUCCCUGCAUCUCCACAC
rnacentral:tmRNA from 1 species